rnacentral:ribozyme from 13 species
UUCUUUCUUUCAUUUUCUUUCACUUUCUUUCACUUUCUUUUUCACCACCAUCCCUUAUUAUUUGUCUCGUUUCUUGUUCUGUUGACCCAUGGAUCCGGAAGAAGGGACAAGGUCCUCGAAUGAUCAAAGGAAACAAUCGAAAAAGAAGAGAAAAGACAAAGUCUGUU